GAUGAACGCUAGCGGCAGGCUUAACACAUGCAAGUCGAGGGGCAGCGCGGGAUAGCAAUAUCCUGGCGGCGACCGGCGGACGGGUGCGUAACGCGUGAGCGACAUGCCCGUUGCCCGGGGACAACCGGUGGAAACGCCGACUAAUUCCCGAUGGGAUAUUGUGCCGCAUGGCACGAUAUUGAAAGUUACGGCGGCGACGGAUUGGCUCGCGUCCGAUUAGCUUGUUGGCGGGGUAACGGCCCACCAAGGCUGCGAUCGGUAGGGGUUCUGAGAGGAAGGCCCCCCACAAUGGGACUGAGACACGGCCCAUACUCCUACGGGAGGCAGCAGUGAGGAAUAUUGGUCAAUGGGCGGAAGCCUGAACCAGCCAUGCCGCGUGCGGGAAGGAGGCCCUAUGGGCUGUGAACCGCUUUUGCCUGGGGGCAAUAAGGGCGUCGCGCACGUCCGAUGAGAGUACCAGGCGAAUAAGCAUCGGCUAACUCCGU
rnacentral:rRNA from 1 species